CAUUCAUCUCUUGAUGGACACUUGGGUUGCAUCCAUAUCUUGGCUAUUGUAAAUUAUGCUGUUAUGAACAUCAGGGGAACAUUUUUAUCUGACAUAAUUCUCACAAUUAAAUGAAAUAGGCACUACUAUUUCACACAUUUCAUUAGUUGAGGAAACUGAGACUUUCUGAGUUGAGUAACUCACCCAAGGUCAUUUAACUAAUGAAUGAUAGACUCAGAAUCUUAGGUUUGUCUGGAUCUGGAGCCUGUGUGGUUUUUUAAACCCCUGUGUUUGGGAUUAUAUGUACACUGAGGUAUGUGAAAUGACUGGCAGUGGGGACCUGCCAUAUAGCACAGGGAACUCCACUCUGUGAUCUUCUGUGUGGAAAGAAAAUCUGAAAAAGAAUGGAUGUGUGUAUGCAUAUAACUCGGUCACUUUGCUGUGCUGCAUAAAUUAACACAACAUUGUACAUCAGCCAGACUUCGAUGAAACUUUUAAAAAUGAAGAAGAAAGAAGGUUUAAAAAAACCUAACCCAACCAGUAUGCUUUAUAGCAAAUAGACAUCAUGAGAAAAACUAAGAGAUGGAAUUAACUAGAAGCCUGGAUAAGAGUAGCAAUCUCCACUUUUUAGCUGAAGUAACGAGAGGAUCGGCGAAGGGAAGUAGUUUCUGGUUUUGUGACUUUAAUGCGUGUUGACAAAUAGGCUUCAGUGGGGGCUGUCUUAAAUUGGAAGAAAUUCAGAUGAGUGCCGGCAACAGUUUCAUAUAGUGCUCAGACGUUGCUCCCAGCUUUUGAUUUCAAAGUUUUUAUUUAACUUGUACUUCCGUGUCUCGAGUUUGGUACUACACCGCCUGAUGAACUAUUCCUGUCUUUGUGAUUUUUUUCUAAUGGCCACACCCAUGGCAUAUGGAAGUUCCCGGGGCUGGCGUUCAAAUCUGAGUAGCAGCUGCAACCUACGCCACAGCUGCAGCAGUGAUGGCUCUUUAACCCACUGCACUGGGCUGGGAUUGAACCUGUGCUGCCCAGAGACAACACCGAAUACUAACCUGCAACACCACAAGCAGAAACUCCUAUCUUUGUGAUUUUCAAAUGUCAAUUUAACUUGAUGAAUGGAGGUUUUCUUUGUCUGUGAUAUAGAAAUAUUGGUAGUUUACCUGUUCUACAGUCCACUUAACAGCCUUAUUUUCUGCUCAUGGAAAUUCACACUCUGUUUUCUGUUUCUGUUUCUGUUUUCUGUUUCUGUUUCUGUUUCUGAGUCUGUUUCUGUUUCUGUACAGGAACAAUAAAGAAGUGAGGAGCUCCUCCCUAAAAUCAUGAUGAUUGUACACACUGGAUUUUUCUUCCCUUACCCAACCACUCCUCAGUGCGGCUCAGUACCUAAGGAAUAUGCUGGUGAAAUAACCACCCCUGUCAUAGAGGCUCCAGCUAUAAACCACAGAAAACAGAAAAUCUUUAAAAAUUAUUUAAAUGAGGGACCUCUAAGUUCAUGACCCACUCUGCAAGAUAGCAGGACAAAAUUUAAAGCAAUGGUAAAUGGCAAAUGAUUUAGAAAAGCAUUUUGUUUUAUCUGGAAUCCUGCUUUGAGUCCCCUUCAAAUUGAAGUUCCACCACAAGCUUUUUUUUUUUUUUGGUCUUUUUGCCAUUUCUUGGGCUGCUCCCGCGGCAUAUGGAGGUUCGCAGGCUAGGGGUCUAAUGGGAGCUGUAUCCACCGGCCUACGCCAGAGCCACAGCAACACGGGAUCCGAGCCGCGUCUGCAACCUACACCACAAGCAGCUCACGGCAACGCUGGAUCGUUAACCCACUGAGCAAGGGCAGGGACCGAACCUGCAACCUCAUGGUUCCUAGUCGGAUUCGUUAACCACUGCACCACGAAGGGAACUCCACCAUAAGCUUUGUGAGGCAGAUUUGUAGGGGUAUUUUGGUAAACAUUAUCAUCAGUUAUUUUUGUUGGAUGAUUUUGGAUAUCAGCAACACUGUCAAAUGUGACCAUCCCAACCAAGGAUCCCUUUUCAAUAAUUUGAAUCAGGUAGAAUUCUGCUGCUUGAUUCACUCAAAAGAGAUGGUCUUCCU
rnacentral:lncRNA from 1 species